AAUCACCGGUUCCCGUACGAUCACAGAAGUUAAGCAACGUCGAGCCUGGUCAGUACCUAGUUGGGUAACCGCUUGGGAAUACUAGAUGCUGUAAG